rnacentral:rRNA from 1 species
UACGGAGGGUGCAAGCGUUGUCCGGAAUCAUUGGGCGUAAAGCGCGUGUAGGCGGCCCGGUAAGUCCGCUGUGAAAGUCGGGGGCUCAACCCUCGAAAGCCGGUGGAUACUGUCGGGCUCGAGUACGGGAGAGGCGAGUGGAAUUCCUGGUGUAGCGGUGAAAUGCGCAGAUAUCAGGAGGAACACCGAUUGCGAAGGCAGCUCGCUGGAACGUUACUGACGCUGAGACGCGAAAGCGUGGGGAGCAAACAGG